GAAUACUGGAGGUGUCUUGGCUCAACUCUCCGAUAGAGGAACAUUCGCUUCCGUCAGUAAUAUAAUACCGAACAUGAGCAGAUACUGGAUUGGCUUAUCGCGAAGGACGAGAUACUGGGCGUCAGAUACAACCUUUCGACCAUCGCCAAAUGGGAUUUGUUUAGCUUUGCAGACAAAGUCGACCUACAAUUGGCAGAGCUGCAGUAGGUGGAUGCAGUACUUAUGUCAAGUCAGUUUCGCCAACGCCACUCUAAGUGACACAACAACGACAAGAGCAGUAACAACAACACCAAUUCCUACUACAACCUCGACAACCACUACAACAACACCAACACCAACGACGACAACAACAACGAC